rnacentral:rRNA from 1 species
UACAGAGGUCUCAAGCGUUGUUCGGAAUCACUGGGCGUAAAGGGUGCGUAGGCGGCGCGGUAAGUCAGAUGUGAAAUCCCGGGGCUCAACCCCGGAACUGCAUCCGAUACUGCCGUGCUAGAGGAUUGGAGAGGUAGCUGGAAUUCUUGGUGUAGCAGUGAAAUGCGUGGAGAUCAAGAGGAACACUCGUGGCGAAAGCGAGCUACUGGACAAUAUCUGACGCUGAGGCUCGAAGGCCAGGGUAGCGAAAGGG